AUCUGAGUUUGACCAAAGGCUUCUGCCGGUAAGGGAUGGGGAUGCGUACGAUUAGGUAGACGGCGGGGUAACGGCCCACCGUGCCAACGAUCGUUAGGGGUUCUGAGAGGAAGGUCCCCCACACUGGUACUGAGACACGGACCAGACUCCUACGGGAGGCAGCAGUGAGGAAUAUUGGUCAAUGGCCGAGAGGCUGAACCAGCCAAGUAGCGUGCAGGAUGACUGCCCUAUGGGUUGUAAACUGCUUUUAUGCGGGGAUAAAGUUCAGCACGUGUGCUGUUUUGUAGGUACCGCAUGAAUAAGGACCGGCUAAUUCCGUGCCAGCAGCCGCGGUAAUACGGAAGGUCCGGGCGUUAUCCGGAUUUAUUGGGUUUAAAGGGAGCGCAGGCGGGAGGUUAAGCGUGCCGUGAAAUGUACCGGCUCAACCGGUGAGUUGCGGCGCGAACUGGCUUUCUUGAGUGCGUACGAGGAAGGCGGAAUUCGUGGUGUAGCGGUGAAAUGCUUAGAUAUCACGAAGAACUCCGAUUGCGCAGGCAGCCUUCCAGUCCGUUACUGACGCUAAAGCUCGAAGGUGCGGGUA
rnacentral:rRNA from 1 species